rnacentral:rRNA from 1 species
UACGUAGGCAGCAAGCGUUGUUCGGAGUUACUGGGCGUAAAGAGUGCGUAGGCGGUGUCGCAAGUUCUGUGUGAAAUCUCCCGGCUUAACUGGGAGGGUGCGCCGAAAACUGCGAUGCUGGAGUGUGGGAAAGGCAAGCGGAAUUCCUGGUGUGAGCGGUGAAAUGCGUAGAUAUCAGGAGGAACACCGGCGGUGUAGACGGCUUGCUAGACCAUAACUGACGCUGAGGCACGAAAGCGUGGGUAGCAAACAGG